UGAGUUUGUGAGUUGCAUUCAAUGACAGUAGGAAUCUCCACCACUGAAAAUAGUGUAGUGUUGAGCUAUCCUUUGUCACACUGUUUCUGUACCAUUUCAGUUUAGUCCUGUCUCAGUUUAUGUUGAAUAGUCAUGUCCUAGUUCCUAGUUUGUCUCCGGGUCAUCAGACCUGGCUGCAUGUCUUUUGGAUCCUGCUUAGCCUCACGUUUCUGUACCUCUGCCUUCUCGGACUGCUUACACUAUGUAUGACCUCAGCUUAAGCAGCAAAAUAAAACUACGCCCAACAUCAUGUCCUCAUCUUGGAGUCCUGCAUUUGGGUCCAGCGCCGCACCGGAGUGGGGAGCAAUCCACCCGAAGUUUUGAUAACACCAAUUCAGCGUCGCAAUGCUAACCCGUCGAAAGAGCACACAGACCCAGAAAAAGGGCCUUGAGAGCAAGCCAGGUAUCUGUUGUGUAUCUCCUCGUGUUGUCCCGGACUGACCCCGACGUGGAUCAUUAAACGGGACCGCAGACCGUCCGCUUGCCAGCUGGCUGACACCGCUCCGCUUGUCCUGAAGUGGAACCCUAUUACUGUCACUCACAGUCAUCAGGCGCCACCCCGCAGCCCACGAUGGCCCCUGCCAGGUGUGCCUAAUAUUGUGGCCAGUAAGAGCACAAGUCUAUGAGGCGUUAGUUGGCGGGGGUCACUGGGGUCAGAGAGCGACUAGCCCGGUUUGCACUCCAGCAUCCUGUCGUGAGGCCCCUGCAUAGGCUGAGGCCUGCGUGCACUUGGCUCCAUGGGGCCUUUGGAGAAGGAGCCGGCGUGGAUUCCCAGUAGCGAGGGGGCGCAUGAAUGCUGAUGAUAAGACAUUGCCAAAGGUGGUGAAAGUACUCACACUCUGUAUUUAAGUCGAUGUACAGGUAUGUACGG